rnacentral:lncRNA from 1 species
UUCAUUUCCUCCUAACUAAAACCAGUAGUUGAUAUGUAAAAUUAUCUCAAAAUCGAUCUGGGAACAUUGAUGGAAGCUUAGGCGUAAACUAUUAAGCUUGACUAAACAUUCACUCAUUUGUAGGUUCCCAUGCCGACGCCAGUUUCUCCGCCGUAUGGAAGAAAGCUUUCUCUCGCCUUCGAGUAGAAUACAUAGUAGAGUUCUGAUACAAUCGCAUUGAGGAAAAUGAAUGCUGCACCAGCGCCGAAAACUCCCUUCCUCAAAGUUUGGCAUGAUGGAGGAUUGUCACCGAACAUGGUUCGGUAUUUGGUGUGGUAUGCGUUCCUUACUGAACCCGCAAACAAGC